GAUGAACGCUGGCGGCGUGCCUAAUACAUGCAAGUCGAGCGAACAGACGAGGAGCUUGCUCCUCUGACGUUAGCGGCGGACGGGUGAGUAACACGUGGAUAACCUACCUAUAAGACUGGGAUAACUUCGGGAAACCGGAGCUAAUACCGGAUAAUAUAUUGAACCGCAUGGUUCAAUAGUGAAAGACGGUUUUGCUGUCACUUAUAGAUGGAUCCGCGCCGCAUUAGCUAGUUGGUAAGGUAACGGCUUACCAAGGCAACGAUGCGUAGCCGACCUGAGAGGGUGAUCGGCCACACUGGAACUGAGACACGGUCCAGACUCCUACGGGAGGCAGCAGUAGGGACUCUUCCGCAAUGGGCGAAAGCCUGACGGAGCAACGCCGCGUGAGUGAUGAAGGUCUUCGGCUCGUAAAACUCUGUUAUUAGGGAAGAACAAAUGUGUAAGUAACUAUGCACGUCUUGACGGUACCUAAUCAGAAAGCCACGGCUAACUACGU
rnacentral:rRNA from 1 species